rnacentral:rRNA from 1 species
AUUGAACGCUGGCGGCAGGCCUAACACAUGCAAGUCGAACGAGGGGCGGACGGGUGAGUAAUGUCGGGAAAAGUGCCUGAUGGGGGGGGAUAACUAUUGAAACGGGUAGCAAAUACCGCAUACCAUCGUAUGUGCCCAGAUGGGAUUAGCUAGUGGGGGGGGUAACGGUGCACCUAGGCGACGACCCCUAGCUGGUCUGAGAGGAUGACCAGCCACACUGGAACUGAGACACGGUCCAGACUCCUACGGGAGGCAGCAGUGGGGAAUAUUGGACAAUGGGCGCAAGCCUGAUGCAGCCAUGCCGCGUGUGUGAAGAAGGCCUUCGGAUUGUAAAGCACUUUAAGCUGGGAGGCGUUACCCGCAGAAGAAGCACCGGCUAACUCCGUGCCAGCAGCCGCGGUAAUUC